GGAUGUCGGAGGUUGCCUCCCCCCUACUGCU
rnacentral:tRNA from 1 species